CGGGGCCGCUGCUCUCCUGCCGUCUCGGGAAUUAUUCACUCCCGGGGAGGGCAGCGGGAGGGGGCACCGCCAGCCCUGUCCGUGCAGCCCGCUGCUGGGAAAUGAAAUUGUCGCUGCCCAGAGCGACCGCGGAGAGAGUGAGCGCCGGGAGCAGCGGAGGGAAGCGAGGAAAUAACUGCCCGGCUUGCCCCACCGAAAAAUACGGAAGCAAAAAGAAAAGGAAAAAAACCCGAAGAGUUUUAAAAAUGGUAUCUAUUUGGGAGCGAGGGAUCUGUGCCGGUCUCCGGGUCCGGCCGGGCUCCCCCUCGCCGUGCGCGGUCCCCAGCCGGGCUGCCGCGGCGGUCCCCGGCACCUGAUCCCCCUGGUGGCUACCGGUCCCCCUCGGGAAGCCACCGGGGGGGGAGGAUCCGGGCAGCUCGGGGCUCGCCGAGGGUGCGGGGGGGGCCCCCCUUUUAUCUGCCUUUCCCCUCGGCAUUACCAUGCCGAUCCCCACCCACCCGGCCCUCCCCGCGGCCGGCGCGGCUCCCUGCGGCCGCUGAGCCGCCCGGCUUCCCCGGCGCUGGGGAGCGAGAAGGAGGAAGAGGGAAAGGGCGCGGGGGCUGGGAUGGAGGUAGGAGGGGGGGUUGAAACUUGCCCUGCAAAGUUUGCGUGUGGCCGGGCGGGCGCGGUGGCCGGUACUCACGGUGCGGCUGGCGGCGGGCGCUGCGCGGAGCUGGCGGCGUGCGGGGAGCGGGGCAGUCCCGGGCGAGCUGGCCCCGCUGCCCGCCCGCCGCUCGCAUGUAGCAGCGCGGGAGGCGGCGGGGGUGCGAGGGAAGGAGCAGUGCUGCCUCUCAGUGCCGGCUCUCAUCAGUGAAUGAGCCUCCACUCUCCGAGGGGCUCCCGCCGCACACACACACGCACACACGCGCGCACACACACACGCACACACACUCUCACACACACGGAGCCGGGCUGAGCACUGCAUACAUUAGGGCACUCGGGCAGUAUGGGAAAUGCAGUCCAGGACCGGCGCCCACCCGCCGGCUGCCCGCCAGCCGUGGCCCCCGGAGUUGCCAAAACGGGGCGUCGGGGGCUGCUCCUCUCCCGGCAGCGCCGCUUCUCCUCCCAGCCCCGCCGUGCCGACCUCACCCACCCGCCUGGCACUGGUCAUAUUUUCCACCGUGCAGCUCCCUCCCAAAUUGCUGCGGGACGCUGCUGGGCCCCCUGGGCGGCAGCUUCCCCGCUUCGGGGCAGCCCCGUACCCUUCCGGCCCCGAGGCAGCCCACUCCCCUCGGGAUGCCCAUGGGACACAGCCUUCCCUCACGAACCCUGCGGCAUGUUCUGGCAUGGGAUGGGCAUGAUAGCCAGGGGUGGGCAUCGUCCCCAAACUUGCCUUGGACAGCCACAGCCGAGCCAGAGAGCGAAUUAGGGACUUCACACUCCCAGUGUUUCCCAACAGCGGCACGCACGCACGGCACUCACACUGCUGUUUUAAUGUUUCCUGGAUGCACGUCGCAGCUCUGCACAAAUCCUUCUGCACACACGCUCCACCUCGGCCACAGGCAACUUCCCUGCCAGCCCUAGGAUUGUCCCGAGCAAAAACUGCCCGUCAUAGGAAAUGGAAGAGCUAGUUUUAGAUGGGGACUCAAAAGAAACACUUGUCUCAUUGUUUCUUGUGAAGUACACCAAACAUUGAUCCAAGAGACUUACUUUGCUCAAGAGCAAAGUGUUUUGUGUUUUUUUUUCUUCAACUGCUAAAUAAUUUCAAGUUAUUCUCAAAAAUAGCAUGGGUAGCAUUUUAUGGCUCUUCUCUAACUCUGCACUGGCAUUCUCAAAAUAUGACUCUGCUGUGUGACAUACGCUGAAAGAAGUCCUCUCAACAUAAUCAAGGACUUGGGCAAUAUUCUGUGUAUGACAGCAAGAGGGAUCAUAUGCUUAUGUCAUCCAACAACUUUUGUGUAAGCAGUGACUCAUCACUGAAGUGUAUGGGCUGGCUUUACCUGUUACUCCAGGAUCACUGAAGGUACCAGUCCCUAUAAAACUGUCCACAGGCACAGCAUGAAGUGUGUCCUCAGGCCUUAACUGGGUGCAGAAUGUGAUAGUUUGCUUUUUACUGGACUGAAACCCACCCAUCUUUCCUGCAGCAUUUCAGAGUUAGGUCUUAUGCAGAUAGGUCUUUAUGCUUGCAUGACUUUUGAAUGACAAAAUCUUUUGAAAUGUUAAUAAUAAUAAUGACAAUAAACACCUUCCUAAUUUUCA